CGGACGGGUGAGUAACGCGUGGAAAACCUGCCGUAUACUGGGGGAUAACACUUAGAAAUAGGUGCUAAUACCGCAUAAGCGCACAGCUUCGCAUGAAGCGGUGUGAAAAACUCUGGUGGUAUACGAUGGUUCCGCGUCUGAUUAGCUAGUUGGUGGGGUAAUGGCCUACCAAGGCAACGAUCAGUAGCCGGCCUGAGAGGGCGAACGGCCACAUUGGGACUGAGACACGGCCCAAACUCCUACGGGAGGCAGCAG
rnacentral:rRNA from 1 species